UUUACCCUUUUUCUUUUUUUUUUUUCAAUCGAAACGAAAUAUCCUCCAAACGGGUCCUUGUUUUUUGCGGCCACCUUAAAAGCCGUUGUAGCUUCCGCUCGUUUCCUUCUUCUUCACUUUCCCAAUUCAAACCCUAGAAGAAAACAAGGUGGCGAGUCAUUAACAUGGAAAAGCCACCAUGGUUGGAACUGCCAGAAGGAAUAUAGGGAGCAUAUUGUACAGGCUGAGUGUUAAAGAGAUACUGGAGACAGCACAGAAAGUGUGUACUACUUGGAGGCGAAUAUGCAAGGAACCUUCCAUGUGGCGAGUCAUUAACUUGUCCAAGGAUUGGGACUUAUAUUAUGCCGACUGGAGACUGCAGAAAUUGUGCUGUUGAUCGCAGCCAAGUUCAGGAAAGCUGAAGAGGCUUAGGAUUGUAUGUUGCUAUUUUAUGGUAUGUGAUGGUUUGGUUGAAGCAGUUCAAAAGCUCCCAUUGUUAGAGGAGCUGAGUUUGACGCACACUGCCAUCACAACAAAAGGCAUUAAAGCUCUUGGACGCUCUUGCCCACGGUUGAAGUCGUUUGUAUUGAAUAACUCAAUUGUAUAUUUAGGUGCUGACUUUGAUAGAGAAGAUGAAAGAAAUGAAGAGGCUCUAGCUAUUGCUAAAAACCUGCCUACCUUGCACCACCUCCAACUCAUUGGGAAUAGUAUGACAAAUAAAGGCCUCCAAGCUAUUCUUGAUGGCUGUCCUCAUAUUGUAUCUCUUGACUUGCGGCUGUGCGAAUAUAUUAGCCUCAACGAAGUCUUGAGUAGUAGAAUUUCGGGGCAGAUUAAAGAUGUGAAGUACCCUCGUGACUCUCUGGCGGGUUUGAAAUUUUCAUUUGAGGCUUGUUGGGAUUCCGAUUCCGAUUCCGAUUAUAAUCACUGUGGAUUUUGAACGGCUCUUCUGGUGUCGGAGGGAGAUGAUAUAGGGAGUUUUUUGUAUUAUGUGUUCCCUCUCCUCUUGCAUCAAUAUUUUUGUUAAAGAUCUCCUUGGUAAGUUCCUAAAGAAAUCAGUAUGUAAUGACUAUGUAGUAUUACUAUAUAAAUAUAUGUCCUUUUUGCAAAGAGAAAACAAGGAAAA